GGAUCAUUGUCGAAAUCGAACGGAAGAACGACCCGCGAAUCGUCAUUGCGUAGUAGACAGAGCCCGUGAGCACCUAACGCUCACGGGUCUCGCGUCGCGUCGGCGCGGGUGCACUCGAGACCCGCGUCGUACCGGCGGACAAACAACGUCAGCACGGAUCGUGCCAAGGAGCUGCAUGGAGAGGAUCGUCGUCCCACGCCUUCGAUAGUCCUCGACGCGGGACGGGGGACGUACGCGAUCUCUACUCAAAAGUCUAAACGACUCUCGGCAACGGAUAUCUCGGCUCUUGCAUCGAUGAAGAACGUAGCGAAAUGCGAUACUUGGUGUGAAUUGCAGAAUCCCGUGAACCAUCAAUUCUUUGAACGCAAGUUGCGCCCGAAGCCAUUCGGCCGAGGGCACGCCUGCCUGGGCGUCGUGAAUCCCCUUGCCCCUGGGCACCCGCACGAGCAUCGGCGGGGACAUAUGCUCGGGCGCAGAAUAUGGUCUCCCGUGGGAUCGGCAUGCACGGCAUGUCGAGGUGCGGUUGGCCGAAAAUCGAGCAUGGCGGUGACGGGCACCACGGCGUUCGGUGGAUCGAACGAGAUUGGCUGCGUCGUGGGCUCGGCAUGCGGCGGGCUCCGGACUUUGAAUAUCCCCGAGUGCGAUCCCAGGUCAGGCGGGGCUACCCGCUGAGUUUAAGCAUAUCAAUAAGCGGAGGAAAAGAAACUAACGAGGAUUCCCUUAGUAGCGGC
rnacentral:rRNA from 1 species